rnacentral:lncRNA from 1 species
UUAACAAUCUCAAUUACAGGUCGUCCCUAUACCCUGUCCGGUAUGAGCGCCAAAUUAUUAAAACUCAAUACCCCGUUCGGUAUGAGAGUGAAGCAGGCCGUCCUCAUACCCUGUCCGGUAUGAGCGCCAAAUUAUCAAGUCUCCAUACUCCGUUCAGUAUGAAACAACGUUCACGGUAGGGUUCCCUAUAUACCCGGUCCGUCCACCAUCUUUCAGGAUAUCUAGUAAGGCUGUCGUUCCAUCUGUUUAUUUAAUCACACAACUUUUCCGUUUUCUUU